AGUGGCCAGUCUCUGUAAAUUGAACACCGCUAUUUCCUGAAGUUUAGGAUUCAUGUUGUCUACAGGCAAGUUUACAUCCAAAUGUGUCAGGUGAUCUCCCUCCCUUUUUAGUGAUAAGGUCUCCCUGCUUAUUCUUUUCCUUUUUGGGUUAGAUUCAUGGUGUGAGUAUAAUUGCAAAUUGCAUUUUUCUUUUCUGAAAGAUUGUAAAUGUAUUGAAGAUAAU
rnacentral:misc_RNA from 1 species